ACUAUGAUCCGAAGCACAGUUUAGACGCACAGCAAAAGUUCAGCUGUGAGUUGUAUUCCAUUCUACAUUUUGGACUUCAUCAUUGAGUUUUUACAAUCCUUAUAACUGGAGUAAAGGAGGGGGGAUCAAGAAUUCUGAGACAUGACUGAUUGGAUUUGGAUCCUGAUGCUCCAAAUCGUUCUUCUGCCAGCCCAGGUGUGCAGAAAACUGUGGAAUCAUCUUCGGCUGGAAACCAUGAAAUAUGAGAUGCGUGAUCUGAACCAGCAGUAUGUUCUUCCGGACAAUGUAUUACAGAGGAUGUAUUCAUAUGAUUAGUAUAGUUAAGUAACUAAGGAUUUAGACUUUUGUCUGGUACGCCAAACAGAAAAGUUGUAAACGUUAUCUCUACUCAUCCCUAGGAAAAAGAAGGGGGAGUGGGAUUUAUGAGUACUGAUUCAUGGUCCCUUAUUAUGUCCUGACUUCCGAGUGUUAUUUGACAGUAGGACCCUCUGUUCCUUCUAUGUAUGCCCUUGUUCACAAUGCAAUAAAUUACACACGAUUUCCUUGUAGCUGAUUGGAAAGCUCGUCUUUUCCUUCUUUAAUAAAGCUAAUCAAAGGCUUUGAGCUGGUC